AACGAACGCUGGCGGCAGGCCUAACACAUGCAAGUCGAGCGAGCUGACGGGCUUCGGGUCCGGAGGUUAGCGGCGGACGGGUGAGUAACGCGUGGGAACGUGGCCCUGGGGUAAGGAACAACCGCUGGAAACGCGGCUAAUACCUUAUGAUGUCUCUGGUUUCGCCGGGGACCAAAGAUUUAUCGCAAGAUACUUCGCCUUGGGAUCGGCCCGCGUCGGAUUAGGUAGUUGGUGGGGUAACGGCCUACCAAGCCUUCGAUCCGUAGCUGGUUUGAGAGGAUGACCAGCCACACUGGGACUGAGACACGGCCCAGACUCCUACGGGAGGCAGCAGUGGGGAAUCUUAGACAAUGGGCGCAAGCCUGAUCUAGCCAUGCCGCGUGAGCGAUGAAGGCCUUAGGGUUGUAAAGCUCUUUCACCGGUGAAGAUAAUGACGGUAGCCGGAGAAGAAGCCCCGGCUAACUCCGUG
rnacentral:rRNA from 1 species